CCUACGGGAGGCAGCAGUGAGGAAUAUUGGUCAAUGGACGAGAGUCUGAACCAGCCAAGUAGCGUGAAGGAUGACUGCCCUAUGGGUUGUAAACUUCUUUUAUAUGGGAAUAAAAUGUUCCACGUGUGGGAUUUUGUAUGUACCAUAUGAAUAAGGAUCGGCUAACUCCGUGCCAGCAGCCGCGGUAAUACGGAGGAUCCGAGCGUUAUCCGGAUUUAUUGGGUUUAAAGGGAGCGUAGGUGGAUUGUUAAGUCAGUUGUGAAAGUUUGCGGCUCAACCGUAAAAUUGCAGUUGAUACUGGCAGUCUUGAGUACAGUAGAGGUAGGCGGAAUUCGUGGUGGAGCGGUGAAAUGCUUAGAUAUCACGAAGAACUCCGAUUGCGAAGGCAGUUCACUGGACUGCAACUGACACUGGGGCUCGAAAGUGUGGGUAUCAAACAGGAUUAGAUACCCCUGUAGUC
rnacentral:rRNA from 1 species